rnacentral:tRNA from 1 species
GCGCUGUUAGCUCAGGGGUAGAGCAUCACCUUGACACGGUGGGGGUCGCAGGUUCAAAUCCUGCACAGCGCACCA